rnacentral:misc_RNA from 1 species
UCGAAUAAACUUGGUUAGGUUGUUGCUGGUCCCUUCUGAGGGGGCAUGUGCACACCGACUCCAUUUUUUAACCCCUGUGCACCUUCUGUAGACCUGAAUCACUCUUCAAGUUGUAACAACUUGGUCAGGGAAUUGCUGCGUGUGUAAAGCCAGCUUUUCUUGUGUUCAGGUCUAUGUUUUACAUACACCCCAUUAGAAUGUUGUCAGAAUGUCAUUAGCGGGCCAUUGUGCCUUUAAAAACAAUA